GAUGAAGAACGUAGCGAAAUGCGAUAAGUAAUGUGAAUUGCAGAAUUCAGUGAAUCAUCGAAUCUUUGAACGCACAUUGCGCCCAUUAGCAUUCUAGUGGGCAUGCCUGUUCGAGCGUCAUUUCAACCCUUAAGCCCUGUUGCUUAGCGUUGGGAGCCUACAGUACUGUAGCUCCCCAAAGUUAGUGGCGGAGUCGGUUUCACACUCUAGACGUAGUAAUUUUUUCUCGUCUGUAGUUGAGCCGGUCCCCUGCCGUAAAACACCCAAUUUAUCAAGGUUGACCUCGGAUCAGGUAGGAAUACCCGCUGAACUUAAGCAUAUCAUAAGCGGAGA
rnacentral:misc_RNA from 1 species